rnacentral:rRNA from 1 species
UACGUAGGGUGCAAGCGUUGUCCGGAAUUAUUGGGCGUAAAAGGCUCGUAGGGGGUUUGUCGCGUCUGCUGUGAAAACUCGGGGCUUAACCCCGGGCCUGCAGUGGGUACGGGCAGACUAGAGUGCGGUAGGGGAGACUGGAAUUCCUGGUGUAGCGGUGAAAUGCGCAGAUAUCAGGAGGAACACCGGUGGCGAAGGCGGUUCUCUGGGCAUGUCCUGACGCUGAGGAGCGAAAGUGUGGGGAGCGAACAGG